UUAGCUCUCUGCAAUCAAAGAUCUUCUCAUUGCCACUCACUCCACUGUUGGUGUCAUUCAUGUUAUCUCUAAAGAAACAUGGUCUGAUGUCUCCAAGAUAUGGGUUGCGAUUCUCAGAGUGAGGGAAAACGCUGCACAGGCAUUCAAGAAGGUUCAUGACAGGCUUGAUGGAACGAGUGUCUCAGCCAAUGCCAGUUUUG
rnacentral:lncRNA from 1 species